AUGAAGCCGGAAUUGCUAGUAAUGGCAGGUCAGCAUACUGCCGUGAAUACGUUCCCGGGCCUUGUACACACCGCCCGUCACACCAUGAGAGUUGGGGAUACCCGAAGCCUGUGAGCCAACUUUUAGAGGCAGCAGUCGAAGGUAGAAUCAAUGAUUGGGGUGAAGUCGUAACAAGGUAGC
rnacentral:rRNA from 1 species